CUUUUUUGGCAGUAUGUAUAUUUGCACUGCUGUUUCAAGUGCAGGGCUCAUGGGCGAGAGACGCCCGGGACGGUGAGGUCCCAUAUCAGGCUGGAGUGGUCGAAACUUUGCGUAACGGCGAGUAUCUUUAUCUCUGCGCGGGCGCAAUUUUAAACCAACGAUGGAUCGUCACAAUCUCGCUUUGCGUUGAACUAUAUCCGAUGUCUUCGCUGAGAGUUUUAAUUGGUUCCAAUAAUCUGAAUUCGCCGAACAAUGUUUAUUACAACAUGGAUACCAUACGAGAAUAUUAUCAGAAUCCAAAAAAUUUCUCCGUAAUAUCACGAAAUAAUAUAGCAUUAGUCAGGAUUGCAACCAGAUUCACAUUCAACGCGAGAACACAGCCAAUCAGGAUUUCAAAAGAAGAUAUCGAUGAAAGAGAAACAUUAACCAUAAGUGCGUGGAGAAAUC